AUUGAACGCUGGCGGCAGGCCUAACACAUGCAAGUCGAACGAGUGGCGGACGGGUGAGUAAUGUCUGGGAACUGCCCGAUGGAGGGGGAUAACUAUUGGAAACGAUAGCUAAUACCGCAUACUGUGAGAUGGACCUGCGUUGUAUUAGCUAGUUGGUGAGGUAAAGGCUAACCAAGGCGACGAUACAUAGCCGGCCUGGGAGGUUGAUCGGCCACACUGGGACUGAGACACGGCCCAGACUCCUACGGGAGGCAGCAGUAGGGAAUCUUCGGCAAUGGACGGAAGGCUGACCGAGCAACGCCGCGUUAGGGAAGAAGGUUUUCGGAUCGUAAAGCUCUGUUGUUAGAGAAGCGGUAACUAACCAGAAAGGGACGGCUAACUACGUGCCAGCAGCCGCGGUAAUUC
rnacentral:rRNA from 1 species